UUUAUGGAGAGUUUGAUCCUGGCUCAGGAUGAACGCUGGCGGCGUGCCUAAUACAUGCAAGUCGAGCGAACUGACGAGGAGCUUGCUCCUUUGACGUUAGCGGCGGACGGGUGAGUAACACGUGGGUAACCUACCUAUAAGACUGGAAUAACUCCGGGAAACCGGGGCUAAUGCCGGAUAACAUGUUGAACCGCAUGGUUCAACAGUGAAAGACGGUCUUGCUGUCACUUAUAGAUGGACCCGCGCCGUAUUAGCUAGUUGGUAAGGGAACGGCUUACCAA
rnacentral:rRNA from 1 species